rnacentral:rRNA from 1 species
ACGAACGCUGGCGGCGUGCUUAACACAUGCAAGUCGAACGGAAAGGCCCUGCUUUUGUGGGGUGCUCGAGUGGCGAACGGGUGAGUAACACGUGAGUAACCUGCCCUUGACUUUGGGAUAACUUCAGGAAACUGGGGCUAAUACCGGAUAGGAGCUCCUGCUGCAUGGUGGGGGUUGGAAAGUUUCGGCGGUUGGGGAUGGACUCGCGGCUUAUCAGCUUGUUGGUGGGGUAGUGGCUUACCAAGGCUUUGACGGGUAGCCGGCCUGAGAGGGUGAACGGCCACAUUGGGACUGAGAUACGGCCCAGACUCCUACGGGAGGCAGCAGUGGGGAAUAUUGCACAAUGGGCGGAAGCCUGAGGCAGCAACGCCGCGUGCGGGAUGACGGCCUUCGGGUUGUAAACCGCUUUCGCCUGUGACGAAGCGUGAGUGACGGUAAUGGGUAAAGAAGCACCGGCUAACUACGUG